CAUCUACUCCCUCCGUUCUGAAUUACUUGUCUCGAAAAUGGAUGUAUCUAGAAUUAAAAUACGUCUAGAUACAUCCAUUUCUGCGACAAGUAAUUCCGAACGGAGGGAGUAUCAU
rnacentral:pre_miRNA from 1 species